rnacentral:rRNA from 1 species
AGCUCCAAUAGCGUAUAUUAAAGUUGUUGCGGUUAAAAAGCUCGUAGUUGGACUUCUUCUUUGAAACGCCGGUCUACACCAUGUGUAUGUAUCUGGUCGGGUCAGAGAAUCCGUUCGUAAAUUCACUCUGCGCUUGAUUGCGUGGAUGGAGGUGCGAACCUUUUACUUUGAGGAAAUUAGAGUGUUCACGGCAGGCUAACGCCAUGAAUAUAUUAGCAUGGAAUAAUAAUAUAGGAUCUCGGUUCUAUUUUGUUGGUUUCUAGGAUUGAGAUAAUGAUUAAUAGGGACAAUUGGGGGCAUUCGUAUCAAGACGUCAGAGGUGGAAUUCUUGGAUUGUCUUGCGACGAACUACUGCGAAAGCAUUUGCCAAGGAUGUUUUCA